rnacentral:ncRNA from 1 species
AAAAAAACCUAGGGGAGCUACACCCUCGACGUGGCUGAGAAGUUGGAGUCUGAUCCAACGACCCUUCAACUUGAUCCAGAUAAUCCUGGCGAAAGGAAAGUUUCGAUGUCAACG